rfam:Medicago truncatula strain A17 chromosome 3, whole genome shotgun sequence.
AUGACGUGUAGCAUACCCGUUGUGGAACUACUCUGAUGUAUAUUUGCUAUUUAAUUGCUUUUGAGUAACGGGGUGUUACACGGCC